UCUUUUCCUUUUUUUCCCUCCGCCGCGGUAAUACGGAAGGUCCGGGCGUUAUCCGGAUUUAUUGGGUUUAAAGGGAGCGUAGGCCGGAGAUUAAGCGUGUUGUGAAAUGUAGACGCUCAACGUCUGCACUGCAGCGCGAACUGGUUUCCUUGAGUACGCACAAAGUGGGCGGAAUUCGUGGUGUAGCGGUGAAAUGCUUAGAUAUCACGAAGAACUCCGAUUGCGAAGGCAGCUCACUGGAGCGCAACUGACGCUGAAGCUCGAAAGUGCGGGUAUCGAACAGG
rnacentral:rRNA from 1 species